rnacentral:rRNA from 1 species
CAUGCAAGUCGAGCGCCCCGCAAGGGGAGCGGCAGACGGGUGAGUAACGCGUGGGAAUCUACCCAUCUCUACGGAACAACUCCGGGAAACUGGAGCUAAUACCGUAUACGUCCUUUUGGAGAAAGAUUUAUCGGAGAUGGAUGAGCCCGCGUUGGAUUAGCUAGUUGGUGGGGUAACGGCCUACCAAGGCGACGAUCCAUAGCUGGUCUGAGAGGAUGAUCAGCCACACUGGGACUGAGACACGGCCCAGACUCCUACGGGAGGCAGCAGUGGGGAAUAUUGGACAAUGGGCGCAAGCCUGAUCCAGCCAUGCCGCGUGAGUGAUGACGGCCCUAGGGUUGUAAAGCUCUUUCGGCGGGGACGAUAGUGACGGUACCCGCAGAAGAAGCCCCGGCUAACUUCGUGCCAGCAGCCGCGGUAAUACGAAGGGGGCUAGCGUUGUUCGGAAUCACUGGGCGUAAAGGGCGCGUAGGCGGCCGUUCAAGUCGGGGGUGAAAGCCUGUGGCUCAACCACAGAAUUGCCUUCGAUACUGGAUGGCUCGAGACCGGAAGAGGUAAGUGGAACUGCGAGUGUAGAGGUGAAAUUCGUAGAUAUUCGCAAGAACACCAGUGGCGAAAGCGGCUUACUGGUCCGGUUCUGACGCUGA